GCCGGAUUCACUAAUAUUUUCUUAAGAUAAAAUUUAAGAAAAUUCCUAAGAAAAAAUAUAAGAAGUUCUUAAGAAUCUCCCUAAACGCUAUUCACCAUUUUUUUCUUAAGAAAUGGGCAUUGUCUUAAGAACUUCUUUGUUUUCUGGCUUAAGACAUUCUUAGAUCGUUAACCUAGGUUUUGAACAUUGAGAUCACGCGACCGAUAUCGCUAAACGUCGAAAACGUUGAAAAAAAUGGAGGAGAGUGCAGCCAAGCGCAGCAAAAACUUCUCGAAACAGGAAUUGGAGGUGUUGGUGGAGGAAGUCAUUAUAAGGAAAAAACUGUUAACGGGGAGAUUAGAUAGUGGAUACGUGACCGCAGAAAAUAAGAAGAGGGGGUGGGCAAAAGUCGCCCAAUCGGUCUCCGCGGUGUGUGGGAUGGAGCGGGACCUACAAGCAAUAAAAAAAAAAUGGGCGGACGUUAAAUCGAUCGUUAAAAAGAAGGCAGCUGAGCGGUCGAGGGAAAUGAAGAGGACAGGAGGAGGGACGUCCUCUGUCAAAUUGGAUGCUUUGGAGGAGAGAGUCUUGACCGUAAUUGGAGAAUGCCUUGUGGAAGGAGUGGCAGGAGGCGUCGACACCGGUGACAGUGACUGCUGCAAACUGUUAAACGACAUGCAAACAGAUACCAUGGUCGUCCUUCAAGUUACCCCCAUUCCCAACCAACCUGAAGCUGCCACUGAAGUCAUUGUGCUCCCUCACACUGAACCAGUUAAACAAAAUAAUUGUGAAGAUCUUACUCUGUCUCAACUGAUAUCCGAGACCAUCCUCCAGCCAGUCACAACCGGCACAGAGGACAUGAUCUCCAUCCAAAGGGAGCUUUUGGAGGAAGUGAGGCACUUGAGGAAGGUGCAAGAGCAGCUUCUCAUGGUAGAGAGAGAGAGACUGCUAUUGGCCAAAGCCAAAUUUGAACGCACCACAAAUGAGCAUUAGUAAAUAAUGACAAUA